GACGAACGCUGGCGGCGUGCUUAACACAUGCAAGUCGAACGGAGUGGCGAACGGGUGAGUAACACGUGGGUGAUCUGCCUUGCACUCUGGGAUAAGCUUGGGAAACUGGGUCUAAUACUGGAUAGUGCAAGAUGAGCUCGCGGCCUAUCAGCUUGUUGGUGGGGUAAUGGCCUACCAAGGCGUCGACGGGUAGCCGGCCUGAGUGGGUGUACGGCCACAUUGGGACUGAGAUGCGGCCCAGACUCCGACGGGAGGCAGCUGGGGGGAAGAUUGCUGAAUGGGCGGAAGCCUGAUGCAGCGACGCCUCGUGGGGGAUGGCGGCCUUCGGGUUGUAAACUCCUGUCGACAGGGACGCGGUACCUGUAUAAGAAACACCGGCUAACUACGUGCCAGCCGCCGCGGUAAUUC
rnacentral:rRNA from 1 species